AUUGAUUUUAUGCUUGCACAAAUGAUUUUUGGACUCGGAGCGAGUGGCGAACUGGUGAGUAACACGUGGGUAACCUGCCCCGAAGCGGGGGAUAACAUUUGGAAACAAGUGCUAAUACCGCAUAAUUAGUUGGAACCGCAUGGUUCCAACUUGAAAGAUGGCUCUGCUAUCACUUUGGGAUGGACCCGCGCCGUAUCAGUUAGUUGGUGAGAUAAAAGCCCACCAAGACGAUGAUACGUAGCCGACCUGAGAGGGUAAUCGGCCACAUUGGGACUGAGACACGGCCCAGACUCCUACGGGAGGCAGCAGUAGGGAAUCUUCCACAAUGGACGAAAGUCUGAUGGAGCAACGCCGCGUGAGUGAUGAAGGUUUUCGGAUCGUAAAACUCUGUUGUUAAAGAAGAACAAGUGUUAGAGUAACUGUUAACACUUUGACGGUAUUUAACCAGAAAGCCACGGCUAACUACGUGCCAGCAGCCGCGGUAAUACGUAGGUGGCAAGCGUUGUCCGGAUUUAUUGGGCGUAAAGCGAGCGCAGGCGGUUUUGUAAGUCUGCUGUGAAAGCCCUCAGCUCAACUGAGGAAGUGCAGUGGAAACUACAAGACUUGAGUACAGAAGAGGAAAGUGGAACUCCAUGUGUAGCGGUGAAAUGCGUAGAUAUAUGGAAGAACACCAGUGGCGAAGGCGGCUUUCUGGUCUGUUACUGACGCUGAGGCUCGAAAGCAUGGGUAGCGAACAGGAUUAGAUACCCUGGUAGUCCAUGCCGUAAACGAUGAAUACUAGGUGUUGGAGGGUUUCCGCCCUUCAGUGCCGCAGCUAACGCAUUAAGUAUUCCGCCUGGGGAGUACGACCGCAAGGUUGAAACUCAAAGGAAUUGACGGGGGCCCGCACAAGUGGUGGAGCAUGUGGUUUAAUUCGAUGCUACGCGAAGAACCUUACCAGCUCUUGACAUCUUCUGCCAACCCAAGAGAUUGGGCGUUCCCUUCGGGGACAGAAUGACAGGUGGUGCAUGGUUGUCGUCAGCUCGUGUCGUGAGAUGUUGGGUUAAGUCCCGCAACGAGCGCAACCCUUAUUAUUAGUUGCCAGCAUUUAGUUGGGCACUCUAGUGAGACUGCCGGUGAUAAA
rnacentral:rRNA from 1 species